rnacentral:rRNA from 1 species
CUUUACUAUAGCUUGACACUGAACAUUGAGCCUUGAUGUGUAGGAUAGGUGGGAGGCUUUGAAGUGUGGACGCCAGUCUGCAUGGAGCCGACCUUGAAAUACCACCCUUUAAUGUUUGAUGUUCUAACGUUGACCCGUGAUCCGGGUUGCGGACAGUGUCUGGUGGGUAGUUUGACUGGGGCGGUCUCCUCCUAAAGAGUAACGGAGGAGCACGAAGGUUGGCUAAUCCUGGUCGGACAUCAGGAGGUUAGUGCAAUGGCAUAAGCCAGCUUGACUGCGAGCGUGACGGCGCGAGCAGGUGCGAAAGCAGGUCAUAGUGAUCCGGUGGUUCUGAAUGGAAGGGCCAUCGCUCAACGGAUAAAAGGUACUCCGGGGAUAACAGGCUGAUACCGCCCAAGAGUUCAUAUCGACGGCGGUGUUUGGCACCUCGAUGUCGGCUCAUCACAUCCUGGGGCUGAAGUAGGUCCCAAGGGUAUGGCUGUUCGCCAUUUAAAGUGGUACGCGAGCUGGGUUUAGAACGUCGUGAGACAGUUCGGUCCCUA